rnacentral:rRNA from 1 species
UACGGGGGGAGCAAGCGUUGUUCGGAUUUACUGGGCGUAAAGGGCGCGUAGGCGGCCACCGCAAGUCAGUUGUGAAAUCUCUGGGCUUAACCCAGAAAGGUCAACUGAUACUGCGGGGCUAGAGUGCAGAAGGGGCAACUGGAAUUCUUGGUGUAGCGGUGAAAUGCGCAGAUAUCAGGAGGAACACCAAUUGCGAAGGCAGCUCGCUGGGACGUUACUGACGCUGAGACGCGAAAGCGUGGGGAGCAAACAGG